AAUGCAAUGCAACAAUCAUUUAUGUGAUACAAAAUAAAAUAUUGGUUUAAUCGUUCAUUACUGAAUAUGCAAAAAAGUAGAGAAGUGUAGUUUCGUUAUGGUAUAUCUACACACUAGGUCUUUUAGUACCUACCUACUCCAGUAUCAGUGCCCAACUCAACUGAACCUUCGGCAAAAAUAGGAUCGAUUUCCAUUCUCUGUCUACUACGCGCUGAUAAAAUCCAGUGAGAUCGAAAUCGCAAUUCACGUCUGACGGUUUCGACAGAAUACUGACCAGUUGCAACUUGCGCUUCAAACUUUAGAGUAGUCUACAAAUUGUACUAGAAACGGAAACAGAUCAACGCAGUUGCCAGAGUGGAUGGAGUUUUGAACAAGGAAAACCACCCUCGUUAUAUACGGUGUAAUGCUUACAAAAGGAAUCGAAAGUCAAUUUGACCCAACAGGUAGGUCAACGACCUGUACAUCUGGCUUCUUGAGAAAAUCAAAACUUUAUAAACCUCUGAGAAAUCCAGCUGAAGAUUUACCAGCAGGAUUAUUUUUAUUUUGGCGUCCAUUAGCAUAUUGUUCUGUUUGGUUACGUGCUUUAACGUAGGAUUAACUUUGCUGUGGAUUCAGUUCGACAAAUUGAUGUUCUUAUGGGCGCUGUUUGUAGUAAUUCAUUGAUUCUGUAUAUGGCAAUAAUUUCAUUUCAUUUAUAAAAAAGAAAUAAUGAAUACAGAAAUAAUACAAGAAAAUCAAAUGGCCUUCUGUGCAGCUGUAUGUAAUAAACGACUAUAAACCAAAAUUCAUAUAAUAAAAAACCGCUAUGUUCACUCGUCACUGCUGUAUACUGUUAUUGGUAAAUAGUGAAGCGCAAAAUUGGCCCUGGUCUUACAAUCUUGGUCUUUGUCUUGCGAAAAUACAAGGCCGAGACAAAGACCAAGACUGUUUUUAUACUAGCAAUGCCAAGACUAAGACCGAACGGACAAGACCAAGACUAAAACC